CGCGUAGGCGGUUACGUAAGUCUGGUGUGAAAUACCUCGGCUCAACCGAGGGGAUGCGCUGGAAACUGUGUGACUAGAGUGAUGGAGGGGGAACUGGAAUUCCUGGUGUAGGGGUGAAAUCUGUAGAUAUCAGGAAGAACACCGGUGGCGAAGGCGAGUUCCUGGCCAUAAACUGACGCUGAGGCGCGAAAGCGUGGGGAGCGAACA
rnacentral:rRNA from 1 species